GACGAACGCUGGCGGCGUGCCUAAUACAUGCAAGUAGAACGCAGUUGCGAACGGGUGAGUAACGCGUAGGUAACUGCCUCGUAGCGGGGGAUUACUAUUUGAAACGAUAGGCAAUACCCCCUACUACCAGAUGGACCUGCGUUGUAUUAGCUAGUUGGUGGGGUAACGGCUCACCAAGGCAACGAUACAUAGCCGAGCUGAGAGGGGUAUCGGCCACAAUGGGAAUGAGACACGGCCCAGAAUCCUACGGGAGGCAGCAGUAGGGAAUCUUCGGCAAUGGACGGAAGGCUGACCGAGCAAAGCCGGGUGAGUGAAGAAGGUUUUCGGGUCGUAAAGCUAUGUUGUAAGAGAAGCGGUAUCUUAACAGAAAGGGACGGCUAACUACGUGCCAGCAGCCGCGGUAAUAC
rnacentral:rRNA from 1 species